rnacentral:rRNA from 1 species
UACGGAGGGUGCAAGCGUUAUCCGGAUUCACUGGGUUUAAAGGGCGCGUAGGCGGUUCGUUAAGUCCUGUGUGAAAUCCCCCGGCUCAACUGGGGAACUGCACAGGAAACUAGCGGGCUUGAGUUCGGGAGAGGGAAGCGGAAUUCCGGGUGUAGCGGUGAAAUGCGUAGAUAUCCGGAGGAACACCGGUGGCGAAGGCGGCUCCUGGACCGACACUGACGCUGAGGCGCGAAAGCUAGGGGAGCAAACGGG